rnacentral:rRNA from 1 species
CGGGGGGAGCAAGCGUUGUUCGGAUUUAUUGGGUUUAAAGGGUGCGUAGGCGGCCCUAUAAGUCAGUGCUGAAAUAUCCCGGCUUAACCGGGAGGUGGCAUUGAUACUGUAGGGCUUGAGUGUAGUCGAGGUAGGCGGAAUUGACGGUGUAGCGGUGAAAUGCUUAGAUAUCGUCAAGAACACCGAUAGUGUAGACAGCUUACUAGGCUACAACUGACGCUGAGGCACGAAAGUGUGGGGAUCAAACAGGAUUAGAUACCCUGGUAGUCCACACUGUAAACGUUGAUUACUCGCUGUUGGCGAUACACAGUCAGCGGCUUAGCGAAAGCGAUAAGUAAUCCACCUGGGGAGUACGCCGGCAACGGUG